AGUGCAUGUGGUGGAUGCCUUGGCAGUCAGAGGCGAUGAAAGACGUGAUAGCCUGCGAAAAGCUCCGGGGAGGCGGCAAAUAUCCUUUGAUCCGGAGAUGUCUGAAUGGGGGAACCCACCUACUUUAAGGUAGGUAUUGCAACAUGAAUACAUAGUGUUGCAAGGCGAACGAGGGGAAGUGAAACAUCUCAGUACCCUUAGGAAAAGAAAUCAAUUGAGAUUCCCUCAGUAGCGGCGAGCGAACGGGGAUCAGCCCAUUAAGUUAUGUGUGUUUUAGUGGAACGCUCUGGGAAGUGCGAACGUAGAGGGUGAUAUUCCCGUACACGAAAGGGCACACAUAAUGAUGACGAGUAGGGCGAGGCACGUGAAACCUUGUCUGAAUAUGGGGGGACCAUCCUCCAAGGCUAAAUACUCCUGACUGACCGAUAGUGAACCAGUACCGUGAGGGAAAGGCGAAAAGAACCCCUGUGAGGGGAGUGAAAUAGAUCCUGAAACCGCAUGCAUACAAGCAGUGGGAGCACCUUCGUGGUGUGACUGCGUACCUUUUGUAUAAUGGGUCAGCGACUUAUAUUCAGUAGCGAGGUUAACCGUAUAGGGGAGCCGUAGAGAAAUCGAGUCUUAAUAGGGCGUUUAGUUGCUGGGUAUAGACCCGAAACCAGGCGAUCUAUCCAUGAGCAGGUUGAAGGUUGGGUAACACUAACUGGAGGACCGAACCCACUGUCGUUGAAAAGCCAGGGGAUGACUUGUGGAUAGGGGUGAAAGGCUAAUCAAGCCUGGUGAUAGCUGGUUCUCCCCGAAAGCUAUUUAGGUAGCGCCUCGGACGAAUACCAUAGGGGGUAGAGCACUGUUUCGGCUAGGGGGUCAUCCCGACUUACCAAACCGAUGCAAACUCCGAAUACCUAUGAGUACUAUCCGGGAGACAGACUGCGGGUGCUAACGUCCGUAGUCAAGAGGAAAACAAUCCAGACCGCCAGCUAAGGCCCCAAAAUCAUAGUUAAGUGGGAAACGAUGUGGGAAGGCAUAGACAGCUAGGAGGUUGGCUUAGAAGCAGCCACCCUUUAAAGAAAGCGUAAUAGCUCACUAGUCGAGUCGGCCUGCGCGGAAGAUGUAACGGGGCUAAAACUAUGUGCCGAAGCUGCGGAUGUAUACUUUGUAUACGUGGUAGGGGAGCGUUCUGUAAGCCGAUGAAGGUGUGUUGAGAAGCAUGCUGGAGGUAUCAGAAGUGCGAAUGCUGACGUGAGUAACGACAAAACGGGUGAAAAACCCGUUCGCCGAAAGACCAAGGGUUCCAGUCCAACGUUAAUCGGGGCUGGGUGAGUCGACCCCUAAGGCGAGGCCGAAAGGCGUAGUCGAUGGGAAAAUGGUUAAUAUUCCAUUACUUCUGUGUAAUGCGAUGAGAGGACGGAGAAGGCUAAAUCAGCCUGGCGUUGGUUGUCCAGGUGAAAGGAUGUAGGCAUGUAUCUUAGGCAAAUCCGGGGUACUCUAUGCUGAGAUCUGAUAGCAAGCUGUACUUGUACAGCGAAGUGGUUGAUGCCAUGCUUCCAGGAAAAGUCUCUAAGCUUCAGUUACACAGGAAUCGUACCCGAAACCGACACAGGUGGUCAGGUCGAGUAGACCAAGGCGCUUGAGAGAACUCUGCUGAAGGAACUAGGCAAAAUGGUACCGUAACUUCGGGAGAAGGUACGCUGUUGUUGGUGAUGGAACUCGCUUCCUGAGCUGACGACAGCCGCAGAAACCAGGCCGCUGCAACUGUUUAUUAAAAACAUAGCACUCUGCAAACACGAAAGUGGACGUAUAGGGUGUGAUGCCUGCCCGGUGCUGGAAGGUUAAUUGAUGGGGUUAGCGUAAGCGAAGCUCUUGAUCGAAGCCCCAGUAAACGGCGGCCGUAACUAUAACGGUCCUAAGGUAGCGAAAUUCCUUGUCGGGUAAGUUCCGACCUGCACGAAUGGCAUAAUGAUGGCGGCGCUGUCUCCAGCAGAGGCUCAGUGAAAUCGAAAUCGCUGUGAAGAUGCAGUGUACCCGCGGCUAGACGGAAAGACCCCGUGAACCUUUACUGCAGCUUGACACUGAACUUUGACCUUACUUGUGUAGGAUAGGUGGGAGGCUUUGAAGCUGGAACGCUAGUUCCAGUGGAGCCGUCCUUGAAAUACCACCCUGGUAAUGUUGAGGUUCUAACUCUGUCCCGUGAUCCGGGACGAGGACCGUGUCUGGUGGGUAGUUUGACUGGGGCGGUCUCCUCCUAAAGAGUAACGGAGGAGUACGAAGGUGCGCUCAGCGUGGUCGGAAAUCACGCGUAGAGUAUAAAGGCAAAAGCGCGCUUAACUGCGAGACCCACAAGUCGAGCAGGUACGAAAGUAGGUCUUAGUGAUCCGGUGGUUCUGUAUGGAAGGGCCAUCGCUCAACGGAUAAAAGGUACUCUGGGGAUAACAGGCUGAUACCGCCCAAGAGUUCAUAUCGACGGCGGUGUUUGGCACCUCGAUG
rnacentral:rRNA from 1 species